GCCCAUGUAGCUCAGUGGUAGAGCACUCCCUUGGUAAGGGAGAGGUCGCCAGUUCAAUCCUGGCCAUGGGCACCA
rnacentral:tRNA from 6 species